rnacentral:rRNA from 1 species
AAUGAACGUUGGCGGCGUGGAUUAGGCAUGCGAGUCGUGCGAGAAUCGUAGCAAUACGAGGACAGCGGCGCAAGGGAGAGGAAUAAGUAGAAAUCUACCCUCGGAUCGGGGAUAGCGGCGGGAAACUGCCGGUAAUACCCGAUAACGUCUUUGGACCAAAGGUGUGAUUCCGUCUGAGGAUGAGUCUACUUCCUAUUAGCUAGUUGGCGGGGUAAUGGCCCACCAAGGCAACGAUGGGUAGCAGGUGUGAGAGCACGACCUGCCUCAUUGGGACUGAGACACUGCCCAGACACCUACGGGUGGCUGCAGUCGAGAAUCUUCGGCAAUGGACGAAAGUCUGAUCCAGCCAUGCCGCGUGCAGGAAGAAGGCCUUCGGGUUGUAACUGCUUUAGUCUAGGAAAAGGGUAGCGAGGUUAAUACCCUCGUGCUUUGAUGGUACUGGAAGAAUAAGCACCGGACUAACUACGUGCCAGCAGCCGCGGUAAUAGUACUCUU